rnacentral:rRNA from 1 species
UCGGGAAUUUUGCUCAAUGGGCGCAAGCCUGAAGCAGCAACGCCGCGUGAGGGAUGAAGGCCUUCGGGUUGUAAACCUCUUUUCUCAGGGACGAUAGUGACGGUACCUGAGGAAUAAGCCACGGCUAACUACGUGCCAGCAGCCGCGGUAAUACGUAGGUGGCAAGCGUUGUCCGGAUUUACUGGGCGUAAAGGGCGCGCAGGCGGUCGGAUAAGUCGAAUGUGAAAGCUCCCGGCUCAACUGGGAAGGGUCAUUCGAUACUGUUCGACUCGAAGAUAGGAGAGGGAUGCGGAAUUCCCGGUGUAGUGGUGAAAUGCGUAGAUAUCGGGAGGAACACCAGUGGCGAAGGCGGCAUUCUGGCCUAUUCUUGACGCUGAGGCGCGAAAGCUAGGGGAGCGAACGGG